AUACGUAGGUGGCAAGCGUUGUCCGGAAUUACUGGGCGUAAAGGGCGUGUAGGUGGACUGAUCAGUCGGGUGUGAAAUAUCCGGGCUUAACCCGGAGGGUGCAUCCGAUACGGUCAGUCUUGAGUGCAGGAGAGGGCAGUGGAAUUCCCAGUGUAGCGGUGAAAUGCGUAGAUAUUAGGAGGAACACCAGUGGCGAAGACGACUUACUGGACUGUAACUGACGCUGAGUCACGAAAGCGUGGGUAGC
rnacentral:rRNA from 1 species